UCGUCUCGAUACUAAUCGACGACGCGCUUCUAGAAAAAGACGACGCAAACAACGAAGAUCAAAUGGAAGCUACUGGAUCAAACGCAAGGAAGCUGGCGUCAGUCGAGGAUCUCUCCUGGAAGUUCGCGAUAAACAAGCUCUCUCUCGCAAUGCCACAAAUCUUACCAAUGCUGGCUCUCGGGAUAACCAGGCGACUAGCAGGCUUAGAGGCAAUAGCAGACGGCACAGGCUACUCGGCAAUCAGCGAAGACGGUACCGAAGUUGCGAAGAUCUCCAGCGAUCUCGAGGCCAACAGGCUGACGGACUGGCUCGAGUGGCUUCUCGAGUGCAAAGAGAAGCGGGUCACUGUAAAGCCGGAAAUGGAGAUUUACCUCGAGAACGGUGGAGUCCAUGGCCAAAUCUCUCAAGAGCUCACCAGGGAGCUCCUGUCCACGUGCCUGAAACAAG
rnacentral:lncRNA from 1 species